UGGGGAAUUUUGGACAAUUGGGCGAAAGCCUGAUCCAGCAAUGCCGCGUGUGUGAAGAAGGCCUUCGGGUUGUAAAGCACUUUUGUCCGGAAAGAAAUCCUUGGCUCUAAUACAGUCGGGGGAUGACGGUACCGGAAGAAUAAGCACCGGCUAACUACGUGCCAGCAGCCGCGGUAAUACGUAGGGUGCAAGCGUUAAUCGGAAUUACUGGGCGUAAAGCGUGCGCAGGCGGUUUGCUAAGACCGAUGUGAAAUCCCCGGGCUCAACCUGGGAACUGCAUUGGUGACUGGCAGGCUAGAGUAUGGCAGAGGGGGGUAGAAUUCCACGUGUAGCAGUGAGAUGCGUAGAGAUGUGGAGGAAUACCGAUGGCGAAGGCAGCCCCCUGGGCCAAUACUGACGCUCAUGCACGAAAGCGUGGGGGAGCAAAACAGGAUUUAGAUACCCCUGGUAGUCCACGCCCUAAACGAUGUCAACUAGUUGUUGGGGAUUCAUUUCCUUAGUAACGUAGCUAACGCGUGAAGUUGACCGCCUGGGGAGUACGGUCGCAAGAUUAAACUCAAAGGAAUUGACGGGGUCAUAGCUGUUUCCU
rnacentral:rRNA from 1 species